rfam:Oryza barthii chromosome 12, whole genome shotgun sequence.
AAUAAGUGCAGUUUUAGCACUAUUCACGUCCAACAUACGACCGUUCGUCUUAUUUGAAAAAAAAAAUAUGAUUUGUAUUUUUAUUGUUACUAGAUAAUAAAAUAUGAAUAGUACUUUACGUGUGACUAAUUUUUUUAAUAUUUUUCAUAAAUUUUUCAAAUAAGACGGAUGGUCAACACGCUAAACACGGAUAUCUAUAACUGCACUUAUU